AGGAGCUCCUGCUCCUUCCCCAACCUGCUGCUGUGGCUCCUCAACCUCUCCCUGCUCGCCCUCGCCGCCGCUGCGCUCGCCCCGGCGCUGCUCCUCCGGCCCCGCCCGACGCCCUUUGGCUGGGCGCUCGUCUCCGUGCACACCGCCACGCUGCUCUCGGCGCUCGCGUCCAUGUACACCCACCUCGCCCGCCGCCGCCUCUGCUGCCACGCCCACGCGGCCCUCGCCGUCGCCGCGCUCUGCGGCCACGCGCUCGCCUCCUACGCCCUGCUCCUCCGCCGCGACCGGAGCCUCGCGCUGCUCGCGUCGGCGAGGGACCGAAGGGAGCAGGUCGCGCUGGUGCUCCUGGAGGCGGCGCUGCUGCUGGCCAUGUUCCUGGUGCAGGCUGUCGCGCUGGCGGCGGCCUGCGCCGUGGGCGAGGGAGCACGAGGCGGUCGAGGCCGAGAAGGCCGCCGCGGCGAGGAAGCGCGGGAGGAAGAUGGCGCGCGUGCGGGCCGGUGGACGAGGAGAAGGGGACGAGCGGCAAGGUGGUGCUCCCGGGAAACGCCGACGAGUGCUGAACGAACGAAGAUGUAG
rnacentral:rRNA from 1 species